rnacentral:piRNA from 1 species
UGGAGAAAUGAAACUCCAGAGAUGGAGUAGUA